CNGGCGGUUAGAUAAGUCUGAAGUUAAAGGCUGUGGNUUAACCAUAGUAUGCUUUGGAAACUGUUUAACUUGAGUGCAGAAGGGGAGAGUGGAAUUCCAUGUGUAGCGGUGAAAUGCGUAGAUAUAUGGAGGAACACCGGUGGCGAAAGCAGCUCUCUGGUCUGUAACUGACGCUGAGGCUCGAAAGCGCGGGGAGCAAACAGGAUUAGUUACCCUGGUAGUNCACGCCGUAAACGAUGAGUGCUAGGUGUUAGGCCCUUUCCGGGGCUUAGUGCCGCAGCUAACGCAUUAAGCACUCCGCCUGGGGAGUACGACCGCAAGGUUGAAACUCAAAGGAAUUGACGGGGGCCUGCACAAGCGGUGGAGCAUGUGGUUUAAUUCGAAGCAACGCGAAGAACCUUACCAGGUCUUGACAUCCCUUUGACCGCUCUAGAGAUAGAGUUUUCCUUCGGGACAGAGGUGACAGGUGGUGCAUGGUUGUCGUCAGCUCGUGUCGUGAGAUAUUGGGUUAAGUCCCGCAACGAGCGCAACCCCUAUUGUUAGUUGCCAUCAUUGAGUUGGGCACUCUAGCGAGACUGCCGGUAAUAAACCGGAGGAAGGUGGGGAUGACGUCAAAUCAUCAUGCCCCUUAUGACCUGGGCUACACACGUGCUACAAUGGCUGGUACAACGAGUCGCAAGCCGGUGACGGCAAGCUAAUCUCUGAAAGCCAGUCUCAGUUCGGAUUGUAGGCUGCAACUCGCCUACAUGAAGUCGGAAUCGCUAGUAAUCGCGGAUCAGCACGCCGCGGUGAAUACGUUCCCGGGCCUUGUACACACCGCCCGUCACACCACGAGAGUUUGUAACACCCGAAGUCG
rnacentral:rRNA from 1 species